rnacentral:rRNA from 1 species
GGCUAGCGUUGCUCGGAAUCACUGGGCGUAAAGCGCGCGUAGGCGGAUCGUUAAGUCGGGGGCGAAAUCCUGGAGCUCAACUCCAGAACUGCCUUUGAUACUGGCGAUCUUGAGUCCGGGAGAGGUGAGUGGAACUCCGAGUGUAGAGGUGAAAUUCGUAGAUAUUCGGAAGAACACCAGUGGCGAAGGCGGCUCACUGGCCCGGUACUGACGCUGAGGUGCGAAAGCGUGGGGAGCAAACAGG